UACAAAGGGUUGCGAAGCCGCGAGGUGAAGCCAAUCCCAAAAAGCGGCCCUCAGUUCGGAUUGCAGUCUGCAACUCGACUGCAUGAAGCUGGAAUCGCUAGUAAUCGUGGAUCAGCUACGCCACGGUGAAUACGUUCCCGGGCCUUGUACACACCGCCCGUCACGCCAUGGAAGCUGUGAGCGCCCGAAGUCCGUGCCGGAACCCGCAAGGGACCAAGCGGCCGAAGGCGAGCGCAGUGACUGGGGCGAAGUCGUAACAAGGUAGCCGUAGGGGAACCUGCGGCUGGAUCACCUCCUUUCUGGA
rnacentral:rRNA from 1 species